ACCUGCGUGUGAGACUGGGAUAACUCCGGGAAACCGGAACUAAUACCGGAUAGUUCCUUGUCCCCCUUGGGUCAAGGAUGAGAGACGGGUUCUGCUGUCUCUUACACAUGGGCCCCCGGCGCAUUUUCUAGUUGGGGAGGUAACGGCUCACCAAGGCGACAAUGCGUAUCCGACCUGAGAGGGGGAUCGGCCACACUGUGACUGAGACACGGCCCCCACUCCUACGGGAGGGGGCAGUAGGGAAUCUUCCCCAAUGGACAAAAGUCUGACAGAGCAACGCCGCGUGAGUGAUGAAAGUUUUCUGAUCGCAAAGCUCUGUUGUUAGGGAAGAACACGUGCAAGAGUAACUGCUUGUGCCUUGACGGUACCUAACCCCAAAGCCACGGCUAACUACAUGCCACCAGCCGCGGUAAUACAUAUGUGGGAAGCGUUGUCCGGAAUUAUUGGGCGUAAAGGGCUCGCACGCGGUUUCUCAUGUCUGAUGUGAAAGCCCCCGGCUCUCCCGCGGAGGGUCAUUGUAAACUGUGAAACUUGAGUGCGCAAAAGAAGAGUGCAAUUCCCCGUGUAUCGGUGAAAUGCGUAUAGAUGUGGAGGAACACCACUGGCGAAAGCGACUCUCUGUUCUGUAUCUGACACUCAGAAGCGAAAGCGUGUGGGAGAGAACACGAUUAUAUACCCUGGUGAGUCUACACCGUAUACGAUGAGAGCUAUGUGUGAUGGGAGGUUUCCGCCCCCUUAUUGCUGCAGCUAUCAGCAUAAAGCACUCCGCCUGUGGGAGUGGGGAGUACGGUCGCAAGAUUGAAACUCAAAGGAAUUGACGGGGGCCCGCCCAAGCGGUGGACCAUGUGGUUUAAUUGGAAGCAACGGGAAGACCCUUCCCAGGUCUUGACAUCUUUUGACAACCCUAGAGAUAGGGCUUUCCCUUCGGGGACAGAGUGACAGGUGGUGCAUGGUUGUUGUCAGCUUGUGUUGUGAGAUGUUGGGUUAAGUCCCGCAACGAGCGCCACCCUUGAUUUUAGUUGCCAGCCUUUAGUUGGGCCCUUUAAGGUGACUGCCGGUGACAAACCGGAGGAAGGUGGGGAAGACGUCAAAUCAUCAUGCCCCUUAUGACCUGGGCUACACACGUGGUACAAUGGACAGAACAAAGGGGUGCGAGACCGCAAGGUUUAACCCAUCCCCCAAAUCCCUUUUCAGUUUGGAUCGCAGUCUGCAACUUGACUGCCAGAAGCCGGAAUCGCUAGUAAUCGCGGAUCAGCCAGCCGCGG
rnacentral:rRNA from 1 species